GUCUUUUUGAAAUUAAUUUAAAGUCUAAUCUGCCCACUGAUAUAAAUUAAAGGGCUGCAGUAUAUUGACUGUACAAAGGUAGCAUAAUCAUUAGUCUUUUAAUUGGAGACUUGUAUGAAAGAUUUGAUGAAAUAUAAACUGUCUCUAAUAUAUUAAUAGAACUUUAUUUUUUAGUAAAAAAGCUAAAAUUUAUUUAAAAGACGAGAAGACCCUAUAGAGUUUUAUAAUUAUUUUAUUUUAAAUUAAUUAUAAAAUUUAAAAUUAAAAAUGAAAUAAUUAUUUUAUUGGGGUGAUAGAAAAAUUAGAAAAACUUUUUUUAAAUAUUAAAUAUAAAUAAAUAGAUAUAUGAUCCAUUUAUAAUGAUUAUAAGAAAAAAUUACCUUAGGGAUAACAGCGUAAUAUUUUUUUUUAGUUCAAAUAAAAAAGAAAGUUUGCGACCUCGAUGUUGGAUUAAGAUAAAAUUUAGACGCAAAAGUUUAAAAUUUUGAUCUGUUCGAUCAUUAAAAUCUU
rnacentral:rRNA from 1 species